GAUAGUGCCACAGAAAAAUACCGCCCGGAGAAAUGAAGGACUGGAAAUUCUCAAUUCCUCGGGUAAGGGUGCAAAGGUGCGGUAAGAGCGCACCAGCAGUUUCGUGAGGAACUGGCUCGGUAAACCCCGGUUGGGUGCAAGGUCGUUGGAGCGACGGUUGGUCUUUUACCCGCUCCUUGUUGCAACGGGGGAAACCUCAUUGCAAAGAACCGCUUGAGGCAUGAGGUAACUCAUGACCCAGAUAGAUAACCGCCCUGACUAGACUUCACGGUUAGCAUUAACGCUGGAAACGUAAUGUUUAUCGCUGAAAUCUAGCUUCAGAACAGAACCCGGCUUAUGUCUGACUCUGCUU
rnacentral:RNase_P_RNA from 1 species